CUCAUUCAUUCCUUUUCCAAAGACUUGCUGAGCACCUUCUAGGUGCCAGAUGUGGUGCUGGCUCCUGGGGACAUGGGAAUGAACAGGCCAGGUGUGGCCCUGAACCAUCAAAUAGACAACCACAGAAAUAACAAAAACAAAGACAAAACUGGGCCCUUCUACACAGUAGCUGGAACACAAAGGAAGAUCAGCCAAGCCUCAACAUAAUCUCAUAAAAAUUCUUCAAAUAUCCCAUUGUUAUGGAUUCAUACAUCAGGAAAGCAGAUGCCAAGAACCUGAAUACCUUCUACUGGUAACAUAUAUUUUGGCGAGCCAGCCCGGAGACAAGACCACUAUGGGCAACUUCCCAUCUAUUCUAUCUGGUGUCACUGUGGACAACUUCCUAUCUAUUCCACCCGAUUCACCGCUUGGCUACAUCCUCCACCAUUGGGAUGAAUUUGACCCUGACAACCUAAAGAAAACGUGUAUGAUUUUUUUACUGCAA
rnacentral:lncRNA from 1 species